GAGGGUAUAGCUCAGUGGUAGAGUGCAUGCCUAGCAUGCUCGAGGUCCCGGGUUCAAUCCUUGGUACCUCCA
rnacentral:tRNA from 1 species